rnacentral:ncRNA from 1 species
GGAUUUGCUUUCUCUGAGGCUACUGGGUUGAGCAGCAAAUAGCUCAGUAUAAAGGAGGUAAAUUGCAAAAAGUACAUAGUGUUUAACAUGUUAAUUUGCAGCUAAGUUUAAUAUAAUAUAUAAAAUAUAUAUUAAAAAUGUUCAACGACUAGUAGAUGAGUAAAGUAUUAACAAUAAUUCUACCGUGUGCGCCUCCAUAUUUUAUAUUAUAAAAUAUAAGACAUAGUCUAGACAAGGGAGAGAUCUCUUG